AGGGUGAGGAAGAACGUGUCAGUUUGUGAAGUGUCAGAAAGUGUCUCUGUUUGAUGUUUAUGCUGUUUGUCUCUGAGAGAAUGAAGUUCUGCUCUAGAUGAGUUCAGAUCAAACCCUGUCAUCUCCUGCAUUCCCAGCAUUCCCGGCUUUCCUCGGACUCUGAGGGUUUAGAUGUGUGUAAGAAGAGAUGAGAAUGAUCAGAAUCAUCAUGAUUGGUUAACUGUUUCCUUUGACCACUUUCAGAUUCUCAGAGCCAUUGGGAAGGGAAGCUUUGGAAAAGUGUGUAUUGUGCAGAAGAGAGACUCCAGGAAGAUGUAUGCCAUGAAAUACAUGAACAAACAGAAAUGCAUUGAAAGAGAUGAAGUCAGAAACGUCCUCCGAGAGCUGCAGGUCAUGCAACAACUCCAACAUCCGUUCCUCAUCAA